GACGAACGCUGGCGGCGUGCUUAACACAUGCAAGUCGAACGGAAAGGCCCUGCUUUUGUGGGGUGCUCGAGUGGCGAACGGGUGAGUAACACGUGAGUAACCUGCCCUUGACUUUGGGAUAACUUCAGGAAACUGGGGCUAAUACCGGAUAGGAGCUCCUGCUGCAUGGUGGGGGUUGGAAAGUUUCGGCGGUUGGGGAUGGACUCGCGGCUUAUCAGCUUGUUGGUGGGGUAGUGGCUUACCAAGGCUUUGACGGGUAGCCGGCCUGAGAGGGUGACCGGCAACAUGGGGACUGAGAUACGGCCCAGACUCCUACGGGAGGCAGCAGUGGGGAAUAUUGCACAAGGGGCGGAAGCCUGAUGCAGCAACGCCGCGUGCGGGAUGACGGCCUUCGGGUUGUAAACCGCUUUCGCCUGUGACGAAGCGUGAGUGACGGUAAUGGGUAAAGAAGCACCGGCUAACUACGUG
rnacentral:rRNA from 1 species